GCCUGGCUAUCUCAGUCAGUAGAGCAUGAGACUUUUAAUCUCAGGGUCGUGGGUUCGAGUCCCUCAUUAGGCA